AAGUUGCCAAUGGCAACCGUUUGACAGUUCGUCUGCAGUGCAAAAGUAAAAAGUAAAAACCACAGAUUCACUGCUUCUAAUUAGUGAAAGAUUGUGGCGAGCAUUUGGUAAUGAAGUCCGUUUACGCAAAGUCUUCUUUGUUUCUCGAUUCGAUUGUCCAAUACUUAUCAGUGGUUGUCCCGCAUCCCUGCACGUGGUUUAAGAGAAUCAUUCAUGUCAAGGAAACGUUGGUGUCAAUCCAGCAUUAUCACAUCACAUUUAUGCAAAAUGAGAUUUGCAUUGUUUCACCUGCACUGGACAUUCAGUCAUUCAACUUCUCCAUGGUGAAAAAGUGCAAGAAGCCGAAAAUUUUAUUCUGUGUCUUUAUUAUUGGGCCAUCAUCACAUUAGCUCAAAUACUAGUCUAAGCUUUUUAAGUCAUAGUUGGUGUUGUCUUGUGCUUUUGAAGAAUCCAGUGAUGGAAAAGUACCUGCUGGUUGAUCCUGUACACUUCUUUUCCAGAAAAAUGUAGCCCGAAUUGCUUUUUCCAAUCUACAUGGAAGUUAAAAAAAUUUGUACACUUCCACAUCAAGCAAUGAAAUAUGCCUUUCUGUUGAAGACAAAAUGCUAGCCAGUGAGAAGAAUGUUGACGUUAUUGUAAAAAGUUUCGGGAUCGUCAACAUACGGACCAGUUUCCGCCUACGGGUUCCAGGUUUAAAAAUAAAAACUAAUCUUCUCGACUUUCUCGUCCUACAGUUCCUGCAUAACGAGCAGAUUUUGGCAACUCUUGAUUAUUCUGAAAUCUUUGUACUAUGACCGACAUGGGCUGCAUAUAUAGUGGGUCGUUAUAUAAGACACCGUUAAAGUGGCAGCCGGGAAGAAAUUGGCAGUGGUUGAAAAACUUGGCGUGGAGGACUGUAAGAUGUGGUACUACUUGAGCAGCCAUGUCAACUUAAAUGGCUGCAUGCAAUUCGUCAAGACAAAAUUUGAAAAGGCCCUUUGUCAUGAGAAAAUGCAGCUUGAGGCAAGAAAUAUUGAAACAGGUUCCUUCCAGUCGACAAAAAAGCAUAAAGGCUAACAUCGAAUCCUCUCAAGAUUUGAAUGAGUGAGUUGCUAGAAAAGCCCUUAAGACGGUCAUCUAAGUUGAGAGAGAAGAUGACAAGCCUGAUCUGUUUAUGAAUCAAAACAAAGGGAACAAAAUGGUAACUGAAAAAGUUACGGUAAACAAAUCAUGCGUUGCAGAUGGCGAUUUGACGUUACAAGUAUGUAGAAUCCAAAUCCAAAGAAGAGUCAGCUAAGAACUAUCUAUUACUGGUACACCAACUGUUAACGAAACUUAUUCCAUACACUUCAAGACUGCCAUUGUGGAGUGCGCAUAUGUUGACUUGCGAUUAAUGAUUCUGGUGGAUUCGUUACCAAGGAGGUGAACCCCCUCUCCCCCACCAAAUCUCAAUCUCUUUUACCAGCCAACGCCAUUUUCAAAUUGUGUAUGCACGGCCGACACAAGACAUAUGUCAACCAGGACCCGACGAGCUAUCCACUUUCGCUAAAACUAGGCAUCAGAGGACAGAGACACCAAAAAUGACUGUUCAUCCUAUGUUGUUGCAAUUGCCCACCAUUCCAAUUUCCAUUCGUCCUAUUUGAGCUAGGAUGCUUCUCUUCUGUCUGGCACAAGUUACCCUACGUGACCACAUUCUCCAGGAGAAGCGGAUUAAGAGCUGGAUCCUGGCCAAUCGUCACUCAUACUCA